CCUUAUUAAGCACCAAGGAGCAGGUAUCAGGCACAACUAUUUAGCCCAAAACACCUUGCUACGCCACACCCACACGGGCACCCAGCAGUGAUAAAUAUUAAGCAAUGAGUAAAACCCAACCCAAGCUCGACUUAGUUAUGAUCAUUAGGGCCGGUAAACCUCGUGCCAGCCACCGCGGUUAUACGAGGGGCCCAAAACAACAGAUACCGGCGUAAAUUGUGGCUAGAGUACCUCUUACAACACUGAAAAAUGAACGAAAGUCUAAUCGUAAAACCUAGACCAAAAGAAACAUAUACUUUCAGCUUUAAAGCAACUUGAACCCACGAAGACUAAGAAACAAACUAGGAUUAGAUACCCUACUAUGCUUAGUUGUUAAUAUGACACCAAUAAACACCACUGUCCGCCAGAGAAUUACACGCGAAAAGCUUAAAACUCAAAGGACUUGGCGGUGCUCCGUAUUCGUCUUAGAGGAGCCUGUCCUAUAAUCGAUAACCCACGCUUUACCUUACCAUCUUUUGCUAAACAGCCUAUAUACCGCCGUCGCAAACUUACCCCAUGAGGGCACAAUAGUAAGUAAAAUAGUAACACACUAACACGUCAGGUCAAGGUGUAGCUAAUAAGAUGGAAGAGAUGGGCUACAUUUUCUAAAACAGAACACAC
rnacentral:rRNA from 1 species